GGAAAACACAAACCCUGACCUCAGGGAGCUCCCAGUUUGACAGUGGAGACAGAGAGGCCCUGCAUCAAGUAGAAAAACAACCCCCACUGCUCUCAAGCACACAGCAAUGAAGAUAUGUAUCCUUGGUGCUACAGAUGCUGACGAUACGACAGUGAAUACAACAUGAAAAAACAAGCACACUUCUCACCCCUAUGGAGCUUUAUUCUGGUCAGGCAGAAGGAGAAGGAAAUGUAAACAUGCAAGGAGCAACUUUUUGGCACUCCCAUUUUGCAGAAGAGGAAACAGCCUGCCUAGGUCUGCU
rnacentral:lncRNA from 10 species